GUGACCUGCGGAGGAUCAUUAAAGAGAUAGGGUCUUCACAGGCCCGACCUCCAACCCUUUGUCUACCAAACCUCAUGUUGCUUCGGCGGGUCCGUCCCUCGGACCGCCGGAGGGCAAAAGCCCUCUGGUCAGAGCCCGCCGGUGGCCAACCCACCAAAACUCUCAUCUGAAUCUUGUCUGAAUUUCUUAAAGAAUAAAUCAAAACUUUCAACAACGGAUCUCUUGGUUCUGGCAUCGAUGAAGAACGCAGCGAAAUGCGAUAAGUAAUGCGAAUUGCAGAAUCCGUGAGUCAUCGAAUCUUUGAACGCACAUUGCGCCCCUUGGUAUUCCGAGGGGCAUGCCUGUUCGAGCGUCAUUAUCACCUCUCAAGCUCCUGCUUGGUGUUGGACUACUUGGUUUGACCACAAACCGGUCUCAAAGAUAGUGACGGCGUCCUGGAAGGAGCCCGUACGAGGAGCUUUUCGUUAAGCAUGUACGCGGUAUGAUUCUCGGGGCGACGGUCUUUACCUAAACAUUUACACCAGUGUUGACCUCGGAUCAGGUAGGAAUACCCGCUGAACUUAA
rnacentral:rRNA from 1 species